GGGUUGGGGCAGGUCUGUCUGGGUGUGGGGGGUUGGGGCAGGAGGUUUGGGUGUGGGGGACUCACCUGGGCAGUUCCCAUGUGGUGUGAGGGAUGCAGGUGGGAAUGUGAGUGGUGGUGCAGGGGCUCCCAUUUGGUGCUCAGGGUGGGGGUGGGGAUGUGCGG